UAGCAGCUUGGCCCCGUUGGCCGUCUG
rnacentral:sRNA from 1 species